UAGGGAAUAUUGGACAAUGGGGGCAACCCUGAUCCAGCCAUGCCGCGUGAGUGAAGAAGGCCCUCGGGUUGUAAAGCUCUUUUGUCCGGAAAGAAAAGCAUUCGGUGAAUACCCGGAUGUUCUGACGGUACCGGAAGAAUAAGCACCGGCUAACUUCGUGCCAGCAGCCGCGGUAAUACGAAGGGUGCAAGCGUUACUCGGAAUUACUGGGCGUAAAGCGUGCGUAGGUGGUUGUUUAAGUCUGAUGUGAAAGCCCUGGGCUCAACCUGGGAAUGGCAUGGGAAACUGGGCAGCUAGAGUGCGGUAGAGGGUAGUUGAAUUCCCGGUGUAGCAGUGAAAUGCGUAGAGAUCGGGAGGAACAUCUGUGGCGAAGGCGACUGCCUGGACCAGCACUGACACUGAGGCACGAAAGCGUGGGGAGCAAACA
rnacentral:rRNA from 1 species